CUUCCUCCACACCGCCAGUCCGCGGCUUGCUGCUCCCACGCGCUGCCCUGCCACCUCCCACGAAAAGGACCGCCACCACUCCAAAUUGCGUUGGACCGCCUUCGCGUGCAACCCUAGGCGCUGGACCGCCGCCCCCACGUAGUUGGUCUGCCCCGACGGCGGCGCCGCCCGACCACCCUGCACGAGCUGCGCCGACCGCCGUUCCACCCCAAUGAGCAUUUUUGGCCUGCAUAUACUUUCCUUAAGUAUAUUUUUGGGUCAAAAUAUACUUUCCUCAAGUGUCCGCUAGAGAACACUCAGUUCCUGCAUCUUUUUGUGCAAAAGAAUGAGAAAACAUAAAUACGUGUACAAUCAUUCAUUAGCUCUGACAAGCAUAUGAUAAGUAAACAUCGGUACCUGUAAUGUCUGAAGCUUAUCAUUAAAUCUGGGCUCAACACUUCCAGAAAAUCGUACAGUCCUUAGAGCUCAUCUAAUUUGUAUUACUUGUACUAAAAAAAAUAUAGAAGAUAUUAUUUAUCUGCACAUAAAGAAUAAAUAAGCCAUUACAAUUGCCGGAAAUACUAGCCUGCCCAGGAAACAAAGAAAUUUAAUUAAUAAAAUCAGUAAGCUGGAAAUCCGCCACCUUGACUGAAGGCUCUAAUCGAUCCAGCUUCUCUGACAUAGCCUGAAAUGUUUGUCCAUCAUACUCAAGCAAAAUAAUUACAACCUAGUGAAUAAUGUAAAUAACACAAAGAGCUUAGUACCUGCUUUUCAGCUCCAUUGGCUAAGUAUUGUUCCCCAGGAAUAUGAAUACCAUUAUUUUCUCUAACAGCGUGUAGUUUUGCCUACAGAUAAACAGAGUCAGUAACUAUAGUGAUCCGAGAAUGUAGGACUUUGAAAUUGCCUAAGUUUGAUAAAAAAAUACUAGAAGUUUAAGAGAAUGAUUGCAGAAAAUAGUUUAUUUCCAAGAAAACUAUAAAAUCAAGCAACAUCACCUUGUUAGGGCUGAAUUUACAGGUCUGGUUUUGUGAUUUCUGUGGUGACCAAGAACUGGAACCUUACAACAAAUUAUUCCAUAACAUGGAUGGUCAAGGAAGCAACAAUAUGGACAUUCUUCUCGAUGAGACCAUCUACCUGACGUGUUUAUGGCAACAGCUCCAGUAAGUUUCUCCGAUCCAGUGUCAAAUUAGGUGUAGGGAAAACUAUGUCAGUCAACAAUAAUAUAUUGGUCGGCGAAACAUUACAUAUGCUGACAGAUGGACGGUCGGUAAGAUUUGUUUGUUGGGAAAAGCCUUUGCGGACUGGACUUUCUGUGACAGGCUAUGUUGGUCGGAAAAAACCUUUGCCAAUCAAUAUUCUGCUGCUGAAAGUGGUUUUCCCUACCAACAUUGUUGUCAAGGAUUUGGCAUUGUGGUGUAGUAACAUCGCUAAAAACUUUUGCUCAUCUGUUGGCAAUUCUGGCAACUUUGGGUUCACUGGAGUCAACUUUGACUCUUUUCCUGACAAUUUCACUCCGUAGCAUUUGAAAGCAACUUCGGAUGCACUGCAUGCAACUUUGCGUGAUUUGUUGGUAAUUUUGGCUCCCUAGCUAGCAACUCUAGCUCUACUAUAGCACCGUUGACAACCUUUUAACUUUGGCUCAUGUGUUGGCAAUUUUGGCUCCUCUAUUGAAAAUUUAUCUUUGCACUACAAACACUUUGACUCAUAUGGAUGGCAAUUUUUAUUCCUAUACAUGAAACUUUCACUCCAUAAUAGUUGGCAACUUUUGACACACUGCAACCUUUUGGCAGCAUUAGUCACUUUAUAGGCACCUUUUGCUCCAUUGCAGCACUGUAGCCAAAGUUUAAACACAAAACUAUUUUCUUAUGACUAGAAUUAAGUUGGAAUAUAGUAUGAACUUGCCAUGUUUAAACACAAAACUAUUUUCAAAAAAUAUUGGUCAAAAUAUACCAAGUGUGAUCUAGCCACGAUAGUGUCAAUGGUGUAAAUGGAUUGCAAUUUCAAUGCUUGGUUGGAAAGUUGUAGCUUUUAAAUUUUUUUUGAAGUGGUAUUUUGUAGCCUCAUGAGUUAGGCCAUCAAUUCACAUAACGAUGUGAUGCAGAAGGCUUCUAUUUUUGGACAGGAGGACAUCGACUUACGAAAAAAAAAGGGUCUGCACUCUAAAAACACAUGGAGCCAAUAGCCAUUUCCUAGUCAUGUCCUGUGAGGCAUCUUCCAAUGCUCCUACGUGGCAAUGUCUCUUGAGCGUCCACGUCUUCUGUCUAUGUGGCACAUAGUCAAUGAGGAGACCACUCUUAUGUUGGCUACCGUCUCUUCACGCCCCAAGACAAAUACAUUAAAUCGCUUUCCUGAAGAUAUUAAAUAAUUACUUAAUAUACAAAACUAAUGCAUUUGGAAGGUGCCCUCAUAACAUUUAUUGUUUACUAAGGGGCAACAUUUAAGAGAUUAUGCAUUGCAAGGAACCUAAUAAAAUAGCACAAUAUCUUUAGACACCGAUGAUGACACAAGUUCAUAGGGAGCCUUGACCUUGCGUUUGGAAAAAAAAACUACAUGUUCUCCUUGACCUUGGAGCGUGAGGCACGCCUAUAUAAACCCCGCACCGGCACACACAGCGCAUAACUAGGCAAAUUGUUUCGAGAAAUUACAUUAAAGCACUAGGCGUUGUCUCCCCACCAAACCCAAGCCAUGGCUGCCCCCAACGGCAGCACGCUGAACCUGUGUCGUUCGUCGGCGUCGAGUUGCUCCAGAGGACGGGGAUUUAAGUGUCCAUACUGCAGCGAGGUGUUUUCCACACACCAGGCAUUGGGUGGCCACAUGUCUAAACGCACCUGCAUCGAUGAGCCCCAUCGAUACCAGCUCCCCCCUCUCCCGCCUACGAUUUUGCCGGCGUCCCCAAUCCUCGGCGCACUACCUACUUGGCUUGCCCCCAACCCUUACUUCUGGGAGGAGUAUCGCCGAGGAGGGCGCCGCCCAGUGGAGAUCAACUUCCUCGGGAUUCCAAGGUCUCCGGAUCUAGUGCCGGCGAACGGAAACGUGUCGGGGACAUAGGUGAGUGCCACCAGGAAGGACAAGGAGGGGGCGGAUGGUGGCUCGGCGAGCAUCUAAACUUGGAGAUCAUCGGCCCCAAGUGGUGUCUCCAUCUGUACUUGGACAUCAUCGGCUUCCCUAUAAAAUUAAUGCUUUGCUAUUUUUUAGGAGACUUUUCGUUUAAUGUAUUAUCUUAUACCGUCAUAUUUUGUUGUGUUUGGAACUUAAAUUAGAUUAUAAUGGGGGAAUAACACUAUGGAUAUUUAAAUACUGCAACUUGUUUUAUCUAUUCAUUCCAAAUGUUUAUGAAUAAGAUUUGGAUUCAAUUAUGUAGUGCACAUUGUGCACUGAUGAAUGGUUUCUAUGUUUCAAGAGGCACGAAAGGCCCUCUGCUGCCAACAGGAAGAGAUAGGGAGAGAUUGAAUCGCCCUGCCUAUAGAUGGGUAGGUGCCCCUGAAUGGCUUGAAACUUUUCAGGCGGUCAUGUUGAACAGAACUGAGAAAGAGACAAUGGACACCAGUGUUUCUUUCUGUAAUCUUUAUUCGUUUUAAAAUGCCAUUUCGUGGUGGCGGUACGUCGUCACCCGCCUCCUCGUCUCUUACGUGUGGGACCAGUCUUCUCGUGCACCCUGCUGCAAAUCAAUCCUACCAUCUUCCUAUAGCUUAAACUCCGCCAUCUUCCAAGAGCCACUCCUCAAUCCCACUCAAUGCGCCUCAAUGCCUCCUUCACCCUAGGCUAUACCUAGGCAUGGGUGGCCCGGCCCGAAGCCCGACGUAUCGGGCCGGGCUCGGGCUUCACUUUCAGUCCCAAGCUCGGCCCGAAAGCCCGAGAAAAACCCGAAAUGACUAAAAGCGAGUAUUUUUAGGGAAAAUAGGUAUAAAAAUCAUUUAUUUAUUCUGAAAACAAUUAUUUUAAUGUUAAAAUGACAUUUUGUCGGGCUUCGGGCCGGUUUGUGCUCGGGCUUAAGGUUUUCCUGUCGUGCUUUUUGAAACCCGGCCCGGCCCGGGGUUUGCCCAGGUAUACCCUAGCCGUACGCCCCGCCCCAAGAUGCCGCCGCCGCCUUGCUGUAGCCCAUAGACCUCUCGAGGGCUGCCGCCGGAAUGCCGGAUCAGGGCGCCUUGUCUUCAUCAACACCUCGCGGCGCUUCUCUUCCCCCUUCCCAGCACCAUCGCAACGCUCUCCCUCUCUCUUUCUUGUGGCAUUCUGCAAGGUCCAUAAGUAGAAAGCAACUCGCUUCUCCUCUCGAGAAACCCUCACAGGCGAUGGGAAGACCAAGAAGGCGGUGCAGGGCGAGUGGGCAAGGCGACGAGCUUCGCAGCGGUGAAGUCGGAGGAGUGCAGGUGGUGGUGGGUGUCGGUGAGGACGGCGACGGCUCUCUGCUACCCGCGUCUCUACCUCCGCCACACUGGGUAGGAGCUCCACACCAUUCCUCGGAGGCGGCGGCAUGGGUCUCAUUUGGGCAGGGCAGCGUCGGCCAUCAUGGAAAAACAAUGAAAGGAUUCAGUGGCUCAGAGGCGCACACCAUGGCCGACUGUGACGGCAUCGGCCAGUCCAACGCAUGUCCCUAAAAUCCUUCGAGCUGGAUGCGGAAUGGGAGCUAUGCCACGUCCUCUUUCCAGGUAUUACAAAAUUCUGAUGAUCACUACUGCUUCCUGAAUCUUGGAAAUCAGAGAUGACUUAGUCAAGAAAGGGACAUAUAAUGUACAGACUUAUACCAUCAAAAGCUGCAGGACAUAUGAUGCCAAUUUUUAUUUCUUAUAUUUGUAUGGUGAUUUUAGCCUCCCAAAUGUUUAUGAUGGGUUCAACCAUUGGGUAUAUUGAGCAAAUUUGGUCUAUUUCUUUUUGUAACUUAGUGCAAGUUGAGUUAUCAGCUUUGAUGUGUACUUGUGUGUAAUGUCUAUGAAUUAUGUGACUUAUUCUAAUCCUGCAGUAGAUUUGUUUUUUUGAAUGA